GAUGAACGCUAGCGGCAGGCCUAACACAUGCAAGUCGAGGGAGAAGCCCUUCGGGGCAGAAACCGGCGCACGGGUGCGUAACGCGUAUGCAACCUACCUUUCACAGGGGGAUAGCCCGAAGAAAUUUGAUUAAUACCCCAUAAUAUUAUUGGAUGGCAUCAUUUGAUAAUUAAAAUUACGAUGGUGAAAGAUGGGCAUGCGUCCUAUUAGCUAGUUGGAGUGGUAACGGCACCCCAAGGCUACGAUAGGUAGGGGUCCUGAGAGGGAGAUCCCCCACACUGGUACUGAGACAGGGACCAGACUCCUACGGGAGGCAGCAGUGAGGAAUAUUGGUCAAUGGUCGGAAGACUGAACCAGCCAUGCCGCGUGCAGGAAGAAUGCCCUUAUGGGUUGUAAAACUGCUUUUAUAUGGGAAGAAUAAA
rnacentral:rRNA from 1 species